GGCGAGUGAACAGGGAACAGCCCAAAUUUGUAAUCUGGCACUUUUUACAAGUGUCCGAGUUGUAAUUUGUAGAGCUGUUAUCCGUACUGGACCAUGUACAAGUCUGUUGAAAAGCAGCAUCAUUGAAGGUGAAAAUCCUGUAGAUGAUAUGGACUACCAGUAUAUUUGUGAUACGGUUUCUAAGAGUCGAGUUGUUUGGGAAUGCAGCUCAAAGUGGGUGGUAAAUUCCAUCUAAGGCUAAAUAUAAGUGAGAGACCGAUAGCAAACAAGUACCGUGAGGGAAAGAUGAAAAGAACUUUGAAAAUAGAGUUAACAGUACGUGAAAUUGCUGAAAGGGAAACGUUUGAAGUUAGUUUUGUAUUCGUUGGAUCAGCUUCGCAAGGAGUGUAUUCUGAUGAUAAGCAAGUCAACAUCAGUCUAUGAGUGUUGGAUAAGGGUUUUGAGAAUGUAGCAAUUUAAUUGUGUUAUAGCUUGAGACUUGGAUACAAUGCUUUGGAUUGAGGAACGCGUAGUAAGCUUUGAGCGGAUUCGAAAGGAUCUCCUUACUAUGGAUGUUGGUGAAAUAACUUU
rnacentral:rRNA from 1 species